rnacentral:tRNA from 1 species
AGAUAGAAAGCGAAAUUUGCUUUCCGUUUCGGCCGGGAGUUUGGUAUGUAUAUACCUCUAUUUG